ensembl:lncRNA
CGAUGGUAUUAGAUGUGAAGAGGAGAUUGUGGAUUUUAUUAAACCAGGUAAGACGGGGCUCAGUAACGAUGGUAUUAGAUGUGAAGAGAAGAUUGUGGAUUUUAUUAAACCAGGUAAGACGGGGCUCAGUAACGAUGAUAUUAGAUGUGAAGAGAAGAUUGUGGAUUUUAUUAAACCAGGUAAGACGGGGCUCAGUAACGAUGGUAUUAGAUGUGAAGAGGAGAUUGUGGAUUUUAUUAAACCAGGUAAGACGGGGCUCAGUAACGAUGGUAUUAGAUGUGAAGAGGAGAUUGUGGAUUUUAUUAAACCAGGUAAGACGGGGCUCAGUAACGAUGGUAUUAGAUGUGAAGAGGAGAUUGUGGAUUUUAUUAAACCAGGUAAGACGGGGCUCAGUAACGAUGGUAUUAGAUGUGAAGAGGAGAUUGUGGAUUUUAUUAAACCAGGUAAGACGGGGCUCAGUAACGAUGCUCUGGGCAGUAAACAUUCUUCUGCAGAAAACGUGACGUUGAUCAUUAAAAUCGCAUUAUAAUAUUGACUUCCUCGAGUUUCGUAAUCUGGCACAUGUACAAAUAAUGACCUUUCAGCUCUUGGCACAUGCUGUUGGCCAGUCAAGAAUUGAGCAUUGAUGUGACGCUCAGUUGUCUGGUAUUGUUUUUAAUAAAACAUUUAAACUUGCGCGAGUCACUCAAGUGAAGAAGGCAGUGAAGGACAACUACGAGCUCAAAUUAAAGCAAACGUUUUUACCUCAGUGCAAUAAAUAAUUUACAUGUUUCGACUUCGAUGAAACUCAGAUGCACUGACGUCUGUCUUAAGUUCCCGGCUAGAGCGGACAAAGGCACUGACAACUUUCGCCAACAAUCCCUGACCAGCCAUGCCAAUAGCAGACAGCACCUGGCCAGCAUGACAGUCAAGCGGGUGGCUGGCAAUCCGUCUUCAGGGCCCUUGGUUUUAUCAGGAAUUUAAAUGCAGAUGCCCAUUGGGUGAUUGCAGACAUAACAACCACAUAUCUAGUAACUGAUGAACCAGCCGGUUGCCUUGCUUCCUGGGGUGAAUGAGUUAGUGUUUUGUUUGAAAGUCAAAUGCUUUUUUGACUUAUCUUUUUAUUCAUUUUCAUAAUUAGACGUAUGAAUGACAUCUAAUUCAGUCAGUUUUGCCCUGCACUUCUCUCUUUUUCCACAGUAUUGCUUUUGUGUGAGGUUAAUCAUUUAUUCUUAUCAAAAUAACAGAAUUUCAAGGUGAAAAUAUCUCCUUAUCAACUUGUGGGAGCAACCACUGUUUUUAGUUCUACUUCAU